AGAGCUGAUCCUUUGUCCCCAAGUUUCACUAAGAUUUGUUUCACACCCAGUGCAUGGCAUUGCUUUGCAGCUAGACUAAUUUGCUCAAAAGUCUCUGUCGGUCUUCCAGUCAGACGUGCCAACUCGGUUUCAUUCGGGCUGAAAAUAUCCACGAGGCUCAGAAGCUCCCCUGGUAUAGGGGCAUCGACCCCUCCGGCAUCUAGAAUAACAGGAACACCUGCACUCUUUGCAACCUCCGCAAUCUGGAUAUUGACUCUAUCCGGGAUCUCCCGCUGCAGCAACACAAUCCCCGCCCUGCGGACAGCAUCA
rnacentral:misc_RNA from 1 species